rnacentral:rRNA from 1 species
AGAGUUUGAUCCUGGCUCAGGAUUAACGCUGGCGGCGUGCAUGAGACAUGCAAGUCGAACGGACGAGUGGGCUUGCUCACUCGUUAGUGGCGGACGGCUGAGCAACGCGUAGGUGACCUGCCCCGAAGUGGGGAAUAACUGCCCGAAAGGGUGGCUAAUACCGCAUGUGGUGCCACGUUCAUUCGUGUCUCCAAAGCCGCAAGGCGCUUCGGGAGGGGCCUGCGUCCGAUUAGCUCGUUGGUGGGGUAAUGGCUCACCAAGGCGACGAUCGGUAGGUGGUCUGAGAGGACGAUCACCCAGACUGGGACUGAGACACGGCCCAGACUCCUACGGGAGGCAGCAGUCGGGAAUUUUGCUCAAUGGGCGCAAGCCUGAAGCAGCAACGCCGCGUGGGGGAUGACGGCCUUCGGGUUGUAAACCUCUUUUCCCGGGGACGAUAAUGACGGUACUCGGGGAAUAAGUCACGGCUAACUACGUGCCAGCAGCCGCGGUAAUACGUAGGUGACGAGCGUUGUCCGGAUUUACUGGGCGUAAAGAGCGCGCGGGCGGUCGUACAAGUCGAGUGUGAAAUCCCUCGGCUCAACUGGGGAACGUCGCUCGAUACUGUUCGACUUGAAGGCGGGAGAGGGAAGCGGAAUUCCCGGUGUAGUGGUGAAAUGCGUAGAUAUCGGGAGGAACACCAGUGGCGAAGGCGGCUUUCUGGCCCGUUCUUGACGCUGAGGCGCGAAAGCUAGGGUAGCAAACGGGAUUAGAUACCCCGGUAGUCCUAGCCGUAAACGAUGGACACUAGGUGUUGGUGGUAUCAACCCCGCCAGUGCCGAAGC